AAAAAUAGACCAAGUCGUAUACCAAGAGAUCAAUGGAGUGGUCUUGUCUCUUAUUGGCUUUCUGACAAAGCUAAGAGACGUACCCAAGCAAAUAGAAACAAUAGGGCCAAACAAAACAUGCCUCACACGGGAGGAUCCAAAAGUAUUGCUACAUUGAUGGAUGAGAAGGCUGAAAAUGGUGUAGAGCCUACACGAGCAGAAGUUUUCUUAUUAACUCAUAAAAAACGCGCGGACGGUAGACCAUUGGAUGAUGAUUCUGCCAAAGUAAUUG